AUUGAACGCUGGCGGCAGGCCUAACACAUGCAAGUCGAACGGUAACAGGAAGAAGCUUGCUUCUUUGCUGAUGAGUGGCGGACGGGUGAGUAAUGUCUGGGAAACUGCCUGAUGGAGGGGGAUAACUACUGGAAACGGUAGCUAAUACCGCAUAACGUCGCAAGACCAAAAAGGGGGACCUUCGGGCCUCUUGCCAUCGGAUGUGCCCAGAUGGGAUUAGCUAGUAGGUGGGGUAACGGCUCACCUAGGCGACGAUCCCUAGCUGGUCUGAGAGGAUGACCAGCCACACUGGAACUGAGACACGGUCCAGACUCCUACGGGAGGCAGCAGUGGGGAAUAUUGCACAAUGGGCGCAAGCCUGAUGCAGCCAUGCCGCGUGUAUGAAGAAGGCCUUCGGGUUGUAAAGUACUUUCAGCGGGGAGGAAGGGAGUAAAGUUAAUACCUUUGCUCAUUGACGUUACCCGCAGAAGAAACACCGGCUAACUCCGU
rnacentral:rRNA from 1 species